rnacentral:rRNA from 1 species
CCUGUCCAACGUUAAUCGGGGCAGGGUGAGUCGACCCCUAAGGCGAGGCCGAAAGGCGUAGUCGAUGGGAAACAGGUUAAUAUUCCUGUACUUGGUGUUACUGCGAAGGGGGGACGGAGAAGGCUAUGUUGGCCGGGCGACGGUUGUCCCGGUUUAAGCGUGUAGGCUGGUUUUCCAGGCAAAUCCGGAAAAUCAAGGCUGAGGCGUGAUGACGAGGCACUACGGUGCUGAAGCAACAAAUGCCCUGCUUCCAGGAAAAGCCUCUAAGCAUCAGGUAACAUCAAAUCGUACCCCAAACCGACACAGGUGGUCAGGUAGAGAAUACCAAGGCGCUUGAGAGAACUCGGGUGAAGGAACUAGGCAAAAUGGUGCCGUAACUUCGGGAGAAGGCACGCUGAUAUGUAGGUGAAGUCCCUCGCGGAUGGAGCUGAAAUCAGUCGAAGAUACCAGCUGGCUGCAACUGUUUAUUAAAAACACAGCACUGUGCAAACACGAAAGUGGACGUAUACGGUGUGACGCCUGCCCGGUGCCGGAAGGUUAAUUGAUGGGGUAGCGAAGCGAAGCUCUUGAUCGAAGCCCCGGUAAACGGCGGCCGUAACUAUAACGGUCCUAAGGUAGCGAAAUUCCUUGUCGGGUAAGUUCCGACCUGCACGAAUGGCGUAAUGAUGGCCAGGCUGUCUCCACCCGAGACUCAGUGAAAUUGAACUCGCUGUGAAGAUGCAGUGUACCCGCGGCAAGACGGAAAGACCCCGUGAACCUUUACUAUAGCUUGACACUGAACAUUGAGCCUUGAUGUGUAGGAUAGGUGGGAGGCUUUGAAGUGUGGACGCCAGUCUGCAUGGAGCCGACCUUGAAAUACCACCCUUUAAUGUUUGAUGUUCUAACGUUGACCCGUAAUCCGGGUUGCGGACAGUGUCUGGUGGGUAGUUUGACUGGGGCGGUCUCCUCCUAAAGAGUAACGGAGGAGCACGAAGGUUGGCUAAUCCUGGUCGGACAUCAGGAGGUUAGUGCAAUGGCAUAAGCCAGCUUGACUGCGAGCGUGACGGCGCGAGCAGGUGCGAAAGCAGGUCAUAGUGAUCCGGUGGUUCUGAAUGGAAGGGCCAUCGCUCAACGGAUAAAAGGUACUCCGGGGAUAACAGGCUGAUACCGCCCAAGAGUUCAUAUCGACGGCGGUGUUUGGCACCUCGAUGUCGGCUCAUCACAUCCUGGGGCUGAAGUAGGUCCCAAGGGUAUGGCUGUUCGCCAUUUAAAGUGGUACGCGAGCUGGGUUUAGAACGUCGUGAGACAGUUCGGUCCCUAUCUGCCGUGGGCGCUGGAGAACUGAGGGGGGCUGCUCCUAGUACGAGAGGACCGGAGUGGACGCAUCACUGGUGUUCGGGUUGUCAUGCCAAUGGCACUGCCCGGUAGCUAAAUGCGGAAGAGAUAAGUGCUGAAAGCAUCUAAGCACGAAACUUGCCCCGAGAUGAGUUCUCCCUGACCCUUUAAGGGUCCUGAAGGAACGUUGAAGACGACGACGUUGAUAGGCCGGGUGUGUAAGCGCAGCGAUGCGUUGAGCUAACCGGUACUAAUGAACCGUGAGGCUUAACCU